ensembl:snoRNA
UUUGCAGCCAAACCCAAAGGUCACACGCGCGACAGUGGUGUGACCGAGCGUGGCUUGCGCACAGCAACACUUGCCUUGUCGCCUUUCUCGGUUGCUUUUGUACCUUUGAAAGUGAAACCAAGGCCUCACACGC